UACGUAGGGUGCAAGCGUUGUCCGGAAUUAUUGGGCGUAAAGAGCUCGUAGGCGGUUUGUCGCGUCUGCUGUGAAAACUCGGGGCUUAACUCCGGGCCUGCAGUGGGUACGGGCAGACUAGAGUGCGGUAGGGGAGACUGGAAUUCCUGGUGUAGCGGUGAAAUGCGCAGAUAUCAGGAAGAACACCCGUGGCGAAGGCGGCUCUCUGGUACGUGACUGACGCUGAGACGCGAAAGCGUGGGGAGCGAACAGG
rnacentral:rRNA from 1 species